GUGAAUCAUCAAAUCUUUGAACGCAAAUUGCACUUUCUGGUAUUCCGGAAAGUAUGCCUGUUUGAGGGUCAGUUAAAUAAACAUCGUUGUUGUUGCUGCCUUUCGUGUUUACGCGUCGGAUUUAAGUCGUCUUACGUUCGCUUAAGCUUCUUAAAAUUUUUGCAUGAUUUUCGUACGUAUUUCAAUCGUUUACGUACGUUUGAGAUAUCGAUUGCUUAUUAGGUUCGGU
rnacentral:misc_RNA from 1 species